AUACGUAGGGUGCAAGCGUUAAUCGGAAUUACUGGGCGUAAAGCGUGCGCAGGCGGUUUUGUAAGACAGUGGUGAAAUCCCCGGGCUCAACCUGGGGACUGCCAUUGUGACUGCAAGGCUGGAGUGGGGCAGAGGGGGAUGGAAUUCCGCGUGUAGCAGUGAAAUGCGUAGAUAUGCGGAGGAACACCGAUGGCGAAGGCAAUCCCCUGGGCCUGCACUGACGCUCAUGCACGAAAGCGUGGGGAGCAAACAGGAUUAGAUACCCUGGUAGUCCACGCCCUAAACGAUGUCAACUGGUUGUUGGGGAUUUAUUUUCUCAGUAACGAAGCUAACGCGUGAAGUUGACCGCCUGGGGAGUACGGCCGCAAGGUUAAAACUCAAAUGAAUUGACGGGG
rnacentral:rRNA from 1 species